CUAACCUACGGGACGCAGCAGUGGGGAAUAUUGGGCAAUGGGCGCAAGCCUGACCCAGCAACGCCGCGUGAAGGAAGAAGGCUUUCGGGUUGUAAACUUCUUUUCUGAGGGACGAAGAAAGUGACGGUACCUCAGGAAUAAGCCACGGCUAACUACGUGCCAGCAGCCGCGGUAAUACGUAGGUGGCAAGCGUUAUCCGGAUUUAUUGGGUGUAAAGGGCGUGUAGGCGGGAAUGCAAGUCAGCUGUGAAAACUAUGGGCUCAACCCAUAGCCUGCAUUUGAAACU
rnacentral:rRNA from 1 species